GUUGCAUUAUGUUCUUGCGGUAAACAUGUCGCCGUUGGCACAGGAACACCUUUCCAAAUUAUGUGGAGCAAGAAAGAAGUGGCAUUAAAUCUAGAUGUCGUAACAGAUGUGUAUGAUUUCCUCCAUUUGGAAAUGAGAGGGUUCAAGAUGCUAAAUCCCAAGAUGAAAAUUGUUGCAACCAACCGAAUGAUUCAUCUGCCAAACCACAUGUUUGGGAUAAGGAUAAGAUGCAUGGUCAAUCUAAUUCUGUCUGGGGUAGUCAAAACCUAAAGGGUACCCAUACGGAGAGAUCUUCAGAUAUUGGAGGUUGGAAUGAAGACAAAGGACAAGAUGAGUUGAAUCAACCAACAAGAUCUCUUGUUUGGAGUUCUUCCCCUAUUGAGAAGUCUUCAGAUGACAGCAGUUGGAAAGAAAAUAGAGCACAAGCUUGAUUUCUAUCGACCGACCAGAGCUCCUGGAUGGGGUUCUUCGAGUAGAUUCAUUACACUCAAUAACAGAAGAGAUGUAGAUUC